AUUGAACGCUGGCGGCAGGCUUAACACAUGCAAGUCGAGCGAGCGGCGGACGGGUGCGUAAUGUCUGGGAAACUGCCUGAUGGAGGGGGAUAACUACUGGAAACGGUAGCUAAUACCGCAUACCAUCAGAUGUGCCAAGAUGGGAUUAGCUAGUAGGUGGGGUAAGGGGUGACCUAGGCGACGAUCCCUAGCUGGUCACAGAGGAUGACCAGCCACACUGGUACUGAGACACGGUGCAGACUCCUACGGGAGGCAGCAGUGGGGAAUAGUGCACAAUGGGCGCAAGCCUGAUGCAGCCAUGCCGCGUGUUUGAAGAAGGCCUUCGGGUUGUAAAGCACUUUCAGCGAGGAGGCGUUACUCGCAGAAGAAGCACCGGCUAACUCCGUGCCAGCAGCCGCGGUAAUUC
rnacentral:rRNA from 1 species